UACGUAGGGGGCUGGCGUUGUCCGGAUUUAUUGGGCGUAAAGAGCGUGUAGGCGGCCAGGUAGGUCUGCUGUGAAAACUCGAGGCUUAACCUCGAGAUGUCGGCGGAAACCAUCUGGCUAGAGUCCGGAAGAGGAGAGUGGAAUUCCUGGUGUAGCGGUGAAAUGCGCAGAUAUCAGGAAGAACACCCGUGGCGAAAGCGGCUCUCUGGAACGGUACUGACGCUGAGACGCGAAAGCGUGGGGAGCGAACAGG
rnacentral:rRNA from 1 species